UACGGGGGGGGCAAGCGUUGUUCGGAAUUACUGGGCGUAAAGGGCUCGUAGGCGGCCAACUAAGUCGGAUGUGAAAUCCCCAGGCUCAACCUGGGAACUGCAUCCGAUACUGGAUGGCUUGAAUCCGGGAGAGGGAUGCAGAAUUCCAGGUGUAGCGGUGAAAUGCGUAGAUAUCAGGAGGAACACCGGUGGCGAAGGCGGGUCUCUGGGCCGAUACUGACGCUGAGGAGCGAAAGCGUGGGGAGCAAACAGG
rnacentral:rRNA from 1 species